GAAGGAAAUGGCUUUAUUAUUAGUAGAAGAAAAUACUUCUAAUUGAAUUAGAAUAGAAUUAUUCAUCUAUAAUAAUUAUAAAAAGAAGGAAAAUGAUUAUAUUAUUAAUAGUAGAAGAAAAUCUGAAAGAACAAAAAAGAUGCAGCUUAGCGGAACCACUGUGUUUGAAAUCAGGAGAUAAAAGACAAAUAGACAAUCUCUCUUACAAAGCAUACUUCACCCUUCCUCCCUAGAGAAGGGGGUCACUGAAAGAUUCCCAAAAGGGUCCUCAUCACAGUUCAAUUUAGAGUCUUA
rnacentral:lncRNA from 1 species